CUCUUCAGUUUUUCUUCAAUUUUCUCUUCCUUUAAGCUAGGUUUUCUUACAUAUUAUUGUUCUACACUUGAAUACCCAGAACCUAAGGCCUUUGUUCGUGCUUUAGAGCCAUUAGAAGUUGGUGUUAAAGCCCCUAAGAAGUCAGUAUUUCAAGAUACACCAGUAGUUGGACUAGUUAAGGAGCUUUAAUCAAGGUUUAAGCUAGGAUUUCUAAGUAGUUCCUGAUGAUGCAGGUUUCUAAAGACGUUAUGAUCGUGUCUCUGCUUUUGCUGUGCUCAAGUGAUGACUU